rnacentral:rRNA from 1 species
AGUGAACGCUGGCGGUAGGCCUAACACAUGCAAGUCGAACGGCAGCACAUUAAGAGCUUGCUCUUACGGGUUGCGAGUGGCGGACGGGUGUGGACUACGUCGGAAUCUACUUUUUCGUGGCUUAUAAUGAAGGGAAACUUACGCUAAUACGGCAUGCUACCUACGGGUGAAAUCAGCGGAUCUUCGGACCGUGCGCUAUUGAGUGUGCCGAUGUCGGAUUAGCUAGUUGGCGGGGUAAAGGCACACCAAGGCGACGAUCCGUAGGUGGCAUGAGAGGAAGAACAGGCACACUGGCACUGAGACAGGUUACAGACUCCUAGGGGAGGACGCAGUGGGGACUAUUAGACAAAGGACGAAAGCCUGAUACAGCCCUACCGCGUGGGUGAAGAAGCACUUAGGGUUGUAAAGCCAUUUUGUUGGGAAAGAAAAGCAGCAGGUUACUACGCGACUGUUAUGACGGUACCGAAAGAAUAAGCCCCGGCCAACUUCGUG